rnacentral:rRNA from 1 species
UAUGAGGGGGGCGAGCGUUGUUCGGAAUCACUGGGCGUAAAGGGUGCGUAGGCGGAUGGCACAGUCAGAUGUGAAAUUCCUGGGCUUAACCUGGGGGCUGCAUUUGAUACGUGUGAUCUAGAGUGAGGAAGAGGGUUGUGGAAUUCCCAGUGUAGAGGUGAAAUUCGUAGAUAUUGGGAAGAACACCGGUGGCGAAGGCGGCGACCUGGUCCUUAACUGACGCUGAGGCGCGAAAGCGUGGGGAGCAAACAGG